rnacentral:rRNA from 1 species
UACGUAGGGUGCGAGCGUUGUCCGGAAUUAUUGGGCGUAAAGGGCUCGUAGGCGGUUUGUCGCGUCGGGAGUGAAAACCCAGGGCUUAACUCUGGGCUUGCUUUCGAUACGGGCAGACUAGAGGUAUGCAGGGGAGAACGGAAUUCCUGGUGUAGCGGUGAAAUGCGCAGAUAUCAGGAGGAACACCGGUGGCGAAGGCGGUUCUCUGGACAGUUCCUGACGCUGAGGCACGAAGGCCAGGAGAGCAAACGGG